UUUAUUUGAAAUAAAAUAUAUUUUUUAUUUAUGUAUAAUUUAUUAUAAUUGGAUAAUAAGUUAUUAUAAUUGGAUAAUAAGUAAAGUAAUAUUUAAUUUUAUUUUAAAAUGUUUUAGUAUUUUAAAUUUUAAAUUAAUAGUUUAUUUUUUAAAUGUAAAUGGAAUUAAUGAAAUAUUUUAAAUAUUUAAAAUNAUUARUNAAAWAWKUWAAAWAUWURARWWAAAAAGUUUAUUAAUUAUUUAUUAUAAAUUUAAUUUUCUCGAAUUAAUUAGAGAUUAUUUUCGAUCUAAGUUAAUGUUUAAUUAUUAUUUAAAAUAUUAGAUUAGAGGAGAAAUUCUAGUCAAUAAUUAUAAUUAUAGGUAAAAUUAUUGAUAGGAUUAUAAUAUUUAUUAUUAUUAAUAUUAUUUAUAAUUAAUWUCUGAUUAUAUAAUCAGACUUUUUAGAAAAAUUGGAAGGGWUUAGCUUUAAAUAUACGUUGUAUAUAUUAUAAAAAUUAAAUUUUAUGUGUAUUAAUUUAAAAUUAAAUAAAAAUUAAUAUUUAUAGAAAAAAUAAAUAAAUUUAUGCGUUUAUUUAAAAAUUUAAAUUAGUAGUUAAUUAUUAAUAAUGUUAAUUUAAUAAAUUAUUAAUCUUCAUCAGUAAUGAUAGAAAUAUUAUAAGAAUAAUCAAACAAUGUCUACGAAAUGUCAAUAUCAAGAUGCUGCUUCAAAUCCAAAAUGAUGAUUUCUUGAAAAGUGGUUAGACAAAAAUAAAUAUCUACCUGUUUAACAAAAACAUGUCUUUUUGAUUUUAAUUUAAAGUCUGAUCUGCCCAAUGAAAAAUUUUAUUUAAAUGGCCGCGGUAUUUUGACCGUGCAAAGGUAGCAUAAUCAUUAGUUUUUUAAUUGAAWGCUUGUAUGAACGAUUGAAUAAGAUAUUAAUUGUCUCAUAAUUAAUUAAAUUAAAAUUUAAUUUUUAAAUUAAAAAGUUUAAAUUUCAUUAAAGGACGAGAAUACAUAUAUAAUUAUACUUAUUAAGCGCAAUAAAUUAAUAGGUAUGAAAUAAAAGAAAAAUAAUUUUUUGAUCCUGAAUUUUAGAUUAUAAAAAUAAAAUACCUUAGGGAUAACAGCGUAAUUUAUUUGGAGAGAUCAUAUUAAUAAAUAAGUUUGCGACCUCGAUGUUGAAUUAAGAUAAUACUUAGGUGGAGAUACUUAAGAUUUUAGGUCUGUUCGACCUUUAAAUUCUUACAUGAUUUGAGUUCAGAUCGGCGUGAGCCAGAUCGGAUUCUAUCCUUAAUAAAUUAAAAAUAUUUUUGUACGAAAGGACUUUAUAUUUUAAAUAAUUUAAAAAUUUAUUGAUAAAAAUUAAUAAUAUAAUAAAAAAAA
rnacentral:rRNA from 1 species